UACGUAGGGGGCAAGCGUUGUCCGGAUUUAUUGGGCGUAAAGAGCGUGUAGGCGGUUUGGUAGGUCCGCUGUGAAAACUCGAGGCUCAACCUCGAGACGCCGGUGGAAACCAUCAGGCUAGAGUCCGGAAGAGGAGAGUGGAAUUCCUGGUGUAGCGGUGAAAUGCGCAGAUAUCAGGAGGAACACCUAUGGCGAAGGCAGCUCGCUGGGACGUUACUGACGCUGAGACGCGAAAGCGUGGGGAGCAAACAGG
rnacentral:rRNA from 1 species